UUAAAGUCUAAUCUGCCCUAUGAGGGGUUAAAUGGCCGCGGUAUUUUGACCGUGCAAAGGUAGCAUAAUAAUUAGUUUUUUAAUUGAAAGCUGGAAUGAACGAUUGGACGAGAAAAUUACUGUCUCAAUUUAAUUUAAUUAGAAUUUUAUUUUUAAGUAAGAAAGCUUAAAUUUUAUUAAAAGACGAGAAGACCCUAUAGAGUUUUAUAAUAUUUUAUUUAAAGAUUUUUAAGAAUAUUUUUAUUUUUAUUUUAAUUAUUAUUUUAUUGGGGUGAUAGAAAAAUAUAAUUAACUUUUUUUAUUUUAAAUUCAUUAAUAUAUGUUUAAUUGAUCCAUUAUUUAUGAUUAUAAGAUUAAAUUACCUUAGGGAUAACAGCGUAAUUUUUUUUUAGAGUUCUUAUCGAAAAAAUAGAUUGCGACCUCGAUGUUGGAUUAAAAUAAAUUAUUGGUGUAGAAGCUAUAUAAUUAGGUCUGUUCGACCUUUAAAAUUUUACA
rnacentral:rRNA from 1 species